rnacentral:rRNA from 1 species
CUACGGGCGGCACCAGUUAGGAAUCUUCUACAAUGCGCGCAAGCGUGAUAGAGUGAGCCAGAGUGUUUUCCAAUUUGGAAGACUUUUAUGGAAUGUAAAAAGUUCCACGAAUAAGGACUGGGUAAGACUAGUGCCAGCCGCCGCGGUAAUACUAGCGGUCCAAGUCGCAGCCAUUUUUAUUGGGUCUAAAACAUCCGUAGCUUGUUUAAUAAGUUCUCUGUGAAAUCCUACAUCUUAAAUGUGGGGCGUGCAGGGAAUACUGUUAAGCUAGAGACUGGAAGACGUAAGAAGUAUGAUCAAAGUAGUGGUAAAAUACCUUAAUCUUGGUCAGACUCACAAUAGCGAAGGCAUCUUACGAGGACAGUUCUGACAGUAAAGGAUGAAGGCUAGGGGCGCAAAACGGAUUAGAUACCCUUGUAGUC